CGAGACUAGGACAAAAAGCUUAACAAUGAAGCAUCUACCACCACAAGUUAGAUUCAAAUGAAACUCCGGCGAAGCUCCGAUGAGACGAGAAGAUUCAAUAAUCUGAAACUUCCAAAGUUCCCCCUAAUACUUACUCCCUCUCCACUCUAAGACAUCAUCUUAAAACAUGGAGGAGAUGGGGCCAUUUAUAGGGGGAGCUUGAGUGAUUUGGGAGGAAACCGUUGG
rnacentral:misc_RNA from 1 species